AUCACUUCUUUGACUUUUGGCUAAGAUCAAGUGUAUUAUCUGUUCUUAUCAGUUUAAAAAAUUUUACUUAUUUAUUUUAGAAAAAGGGAGAGGAUUUGUUGUUCCACUUACUCAUGUGUUCAUCGGUUGCUUCUUAGAUGUGGCCCUGCUGGGGAUCAAACCUGAAACCUUGGCAUAUUGGGCCAACACUCC